UUUUCCGCUAAAUCUCAUAUUUUUUCCAGUUCAGAAAUUUUCUUUCUACAAUAGGUUUUUAGUAGGGUACUUUGUACAAAAAAUUCUUCACUUAUUCAGCUUAUUAGUGUCCUGGUUAAUCGCAAUACUACAUUCGAAUCAGGAAGACAAUACAAGACUGGGAAUGGUAGUAAAGGAUAAUAUCUAGCAUGUAAUACCCGUGAUUUAAUAUUUAAAUUGCUUUAAUUUUUAUCAAGAUAAUUUGAUAAAUUUUGAAAUUAGAUCUAUGAUUUUAAGAGAGUAGUCAAUUUUAUUUACAUUUUCCUCCUCUCCCCCCACUCCCUUCCAUUUCCGCUGCCUGCCCCUUCUUCCCAGCCAUCGCAAGCUCCUUCCUCUUGCCCCUCCCUCGCCGGUGUCGCCUCCUUAUUUCUUGCUGCCGGCGACGAGUUAGAGGAAGGAAAGCUCCUCCCUUGCUGCUGCCACUAGAACGAUCGCCUACCACCGUCCUUCCGCUAGUCUGACAUCGGAAUCGUGCUCCCCAUUGUCGACAACCCGAAGCCAGCUCCUCCCCGCCGUUCUUCCUCCGCCGGCGGCCUUAGAAGAGUCUUACUGGAGCAGCUCCUUUCUCACCGCGAUCUAGCAGUUUCCAACAAGGGCUAGGCAGUGAGUUUGGUGUUUUUGAAUUCCUCGCAACUCAAGCUUUGCAUAGGCGUCUCCAGAUUCGAAAUCCGACACCAUUGGCGGUACUGGCUUUCGGGCUCCAGUGUUUUUUGAACGCACAAAAUUUCGAGUUCGGCUCGAUAAUCUGAAAGUCCAGCCAACUCCAUCUGAAGCGUAGGAGCAGUCAGCAGAACUCGGCAGAACAAUUCAGCAAGACUUGAUUUCCAUGUGAAGACAGGAGAACAACUAGGAGAUAUCUUCACGAAGGCUCUUAAUGGGACUCGAAUUGAUUAUCUUUGUAACAAGCUGGGCAUGAUUAAUAACUAUACUUCAGCUUGAGGGGGAGUAUUAUGGAAGUUGUAUAGGAUUGUAUAUAGUAAUUAGAAAACUAAUUUAUUCCUAGUCCCACUUAGAUUAUGAUUUGUAUGUAUUGUGUAUAUAUAUGCGUAUAACUCACUUGAUUAAAUAAUAAGAUUUUCAAAUUCUUCACUCAAAUUACAUUCCUAAAAGCAAGUUUGAGAAAAGUAAUUUAUAAAAUAUUAUAAAAAUCAAUAUACUAAUAAAAAAUAUUCCAAACCUGCUU